UACGAAGGGGGCUAGCGUUGCUCGGAAUCACUGGGCGUAAAGCGCACGUAGGCGGAUUGCUAAGUCAGGGGUGAAAUCCUGGAGCUCAACUCUAGAACUGCCUUUGAUACUGGCGAUCUUGAGUCCGGGAGAGGUGAGUGGAACUGCGAGUGUAGAGGUGAAAUUCGUAGAUAUUCGCAAGAACACCAGUGGCGAAGGCGGCUCACUGGCCCGGUACUGACGCUGAGGUGCGAAAGCGUGGGGAGCAAACAGG
rnacentral:rRNA from 1 species